rnacentral:rRNA from 1 species
GUAGUCCACGCAGUAAACGAUGAGUGCUAGAUAUUGGAACUUGUUUUCAGUGUCACAGCUAACGCGUUAAGCACUCCGCCUGGGGAGUACGAUCGCAAGAUUAAAACUCAAAGGAAUUGACGGGGACUCGCACAAGCGGUGGAACAUGUGGUUUAAUUCGAUGCUACGCGAAAAACCUUACCAGGCCUUGACAUAUUAGUCGUAUCGUGAAGAGAUUCAUGAGUCAGUUCGGCUGGACUAUUACAGGUGUUGCAUGGCUGUCGUCAGCUCGUGUCGUGAGAUGUUGGGUUAAGUCCCGCAACGAGCGCAACCCUCAUCCUUAGUUACCAACAGGUAAUGCUGGGCACUCUAAGGAAACUGCCGGUGAUAAGCCGGA